AUUUGAGUAGACAUUUCUUCAAAGACUAUAUGAUGGCUAAGAAGCACAUGGACAGAUGUUCAGCAUCACUCAUCAUUAGGGAAAUGCAAGUCAAAACCACAAUGAGAUGCUCUUUU